rnacentral:rRNA from 1 species
GAUGAACGCUGGCGGCGUGCCUAAUACAUGCAAGUCGAGCGAAGCGGGGACGGGUGAAUAACACAUGGAUAACCUCUUCUCAGACUGGGCUCACUUCGGGACACCGGAUCUAAACCGGAUACUUCUAUAUGGUAUCGGUCUGUAUUGGCUAGUUGGUAAAGGAACGGCUUACCAACGCAACUAUGCAUAGCCGACCUGAGAGGGUGAUCGCCCAAACUGGAACUGAGACACGGUCCAGACUCCUGCGGGAGGCAGCAGUAGGGAAUCUUCCGCAAUGGGCGAAAGACUGACGGAGCAACGCCGGGUGAGUGAUGAAGGUCUACGGAUGGUAAGACUCUGUUAUUAGUGAAGCGGUACCUAGUCAGAAAGCCACGGCUAACUCCGUGCCAGGAGCCGGGGUAAUUC